rnacentral:lncRNA from 1 species
CACAAACGGGAAUCAGACCGCAAAUAUAAGACUUUCAUUGGGAUCCAUUUCCUGGGUGUUUCUACUUUCAAGACAUCUCCCCUGCACAUUGCUGAUUCAAGCUUUAAACUGCGUGCAUACCAGGUUUACAUAGAACAAACUCCUACUUGCUCUUAUCAUGUGAGCCACUCAUCAACUGCAGGCCGAGCAUAUAGCGGAGAGAACGAAAAUGUAAUUUAUGGUGAAUGAAUGGCCGGAUAAGUAGAGAAGGGUAGGGAGAGAAGAAAAUGAGUAUAGUUGUGGUUAGAGAGAGAAAAGGUGGUGGAAGGUUAGUGAAGGUGUAAGGCUAUGGGUAUGAUGGUAUGGGAUUCCAUUAUGUAGAGAUAAGAGUGUGGGCAUGGUGACGGGUAUGGCCAUGUAUGGCCAUGCAAAGGUGAGGGGAACAAUCAUGUGCUGGAUGAGUGAUGGAAAGAAGCAGGACGAAUGGGCAUUAUGGGUAUGAGAAAAUGAAAAGGGGUAAUGGGAUGGGUGUGAGGUGUGGUGUAGUGAGAGAAAAGGUGAUGAAGGGUAUGUGAGGAGGAU